UACGUAGGGGGGCAAGCGUUGUCCGGAAUCAUUGGGCGUAAAGCGCGCGUAGGCGGCCCGGUAAGUCCGUUGUGAAAGUCAAAGGCUCAACCUUUGAACGCCGAUGGAUACUGCCGGGCUAGAGUCCGGAAGAGGCGAGUGGAAUUCCUGGUGUAGCGGUGGAAUGCGCAGAUAUCAGGAGGAACACCAAUAGCGAAGGCAGCUCGCUGGAACGGUACUGACGCUGAGACGCGAAAGCGUGGGGAGCGAACAGG
rnacentral:rRNA from 1 species